rnacentral:rRNA from 1 species
GGUUAAGCGACUAAGCGUACACGGUGGAUGCCCUGGCAGUCAGAGGCGAUGAAGGGCGUGCUAAUCUGCGAUAAGCGCCGGUAAGGUGAUAUGAACCGUUAUAACCGGCGAUACCCGAAUGGGGAAACCCAGUGUGACUCGUCACACUAUCAUUAACUGAAUCCAUAGGUUAAUGAGGCGAACCGGGGGAACUGAAACAUCUAAGUACCCCGAGGAAAAGAAAUCAACCGAGAUUCCCCCAGUAGCGGCGAGCGAACGGGGAGGAGCCCAGAGCCUGAAUCAGCAUGUGUGUUAGUGGAAGCGUCUGGAAAGGCGCGCGAUACAGGGUGACAGCCCCGUACACAAAAGCGCAUGUGCUGUGAGCUCGAUGAGUAGGGCGGGACACGUGGUAUCCUGUCUGAAUAUGGGGGGACCAUCCUCCAAGGCUAAAUACUCCUGACUGACCGAUAGUGAACCAGUACCGUGAGGGAAAGGCGAAAAGAACCCCGGCGAGGGGAGUGAAAAAGAACCUGAAACCGUGUACGUACAAGCAGUGGGAGCACAG